UGGACAAAGGCUUCCUGUCCAAAAGGAGACUAAGAACACACACAGCAAGGACUCAGAUGAAAUCCCAUUUCAGGAGACCCAGCUCAGACAUGAAGGCACCGGGUUGAGUAUGUCACAGAUGAGAGUCAACUGCUCCAGGGUAACUACCAGUGGACUGCUCCCCCUUCCCCCCCAUUAAGAGGGAUGUUGCAGUGUUAGGAGAGCAGGCACAGGGUGACCAGAGCAGAAGCGCGUCCACUGGAGACAAUAAAACCAGUUCUUCAAGAGAAAAUGAAGCAAUUAAUUAUUCAAGGGCAAGGAGCUCUCCGUCCUUCAUGUCCUUCAUUUCCGCAGACCACAUUCCCCUCGGCUGUUUAAAUAGGAGAUCGACCUGCACUUAAGUAAGGAGUCAAGGGCCGGUCCAUUCAAGAUCUCUUAAUUCAAGGAUUCCUGAUUCUAAAAGGGAAGAAACCGGAUGCCUGCUUUCUGAUGCCAGUGGUGGGGGGCUGUCUGAAGUCCUGCAAGGUCUGGGGACAAACUUUGGGAAGGUGCUCAAUGCCACAGCAAAGGGAUGCUGUCUCCCUUGUUUUUCUCUGAGCUGCUUGGGGUAUUCUGAGGCCCAGAAUACCCUAUCCUGGGGGUAGAAUUCUUUUUUUCUCCUAUUCUCGGAACUGAAUCUGAAAUCUUAUGCAUGAGUCAAUUACUCUGUCUCUGAACUGUCUCCCCAGCCUCUGCCAGGACACUUUUGAGCUGGGGGUACAGCUAGGGAAGAAGUCCCCAAACUCUGGAUAACCCACUGUGCUAGACAGUGAGCAACUUUACCCAGCCCCCUCCUCCAAUACAUCUUCCUUCUUAAUAAUGGCCUGAGCUUCGUUCCUUUUCUCCCAAUAUGUCAAGAUAGCUUAUUAAUUUUGGUAAGCGAUGCUGAGUCAUUUUGAACGAUUAAGUGCAGAGAAAUGUCAACUAUCCAAGUGUCUGCGGUAAAGAGAAUUGGAUUAGAUGCCACUUGAUAUUUUGGAAGAAAAUUAUUACUGCCCAGGAGAAUUUUAUGUAUAUUUAGCUUACUUUAGGAUAUCCAGAGUCUGCCAGUGUGGAGCUUUCUGGUAAAUGCUAACAGUCUCCUUGGCACUCUUCUGGAAAGGGGUAAGAAGAGAAGAGACCAAGUCAAGCUUUAAUCCCUGUCAGCACUUAGACAGAGCCAACCAUGGGUUCAGCCCUUCAAGGUGGGUUUGUAAAUGGGCUGAAAACCAAGUGUGUUUUCCCUGCAUUAAAAUCCAAUCUGAUAUGUGCAUGUAUGUAACCAUUAACAGGCUAAAGUGGUAUUUUUCUGAAGGGAAGAAAUGGGGGGAGACACAAAUGGAGGGGACACAUACUCACACACUCAUUGAGCAUACAUGCACGUACCUACCACACAUACAUAAGAAGUAUGGCACAUGCUACUGGCCAGUUUUGUGUUUCAACUUGACACAAGCUGGAGUUAUCACAGAGAAAGGAGUCUCCCUUGAGGAAAUGCCUCCAUGAGAUCCAGAUGUAAGGCAUUUUCUCAAUUAGUGAUUAAUAGGGGAAACCCAGACCACGGUUGGUGGCGCCCUUCCUGGGCUGGUGGUGCUGGAUUCUAUACGGCGGUAGGCUGAGCAAGCCAGGAAGCAGCCCCCUCCAUGGCCUCUGCAGCAGCUCCUGUCUCAGGUUCCAGACCUGCUUGAGUUCCUGUCCUGACUUUCUCCAAUGAUGGAUUGUGAUCUGGCAGUAUAAGCCAAAUAAACCCUUUCCUCCCUAACUUGCUUUCUGGCCAUGUUUUGUCCCAGUCUUAAAACCCAGACUAAGACACCACUAUUGUGUUGCGAUUUCCUCCAAAGCAAAACAUUCCAUCCUAGAGGGAUGGAUGGAAGAGACUCUUGAG